CACGGAGUUAGCCGAUGCCUUUUCUUCGGAUACACGCAGUCCGGGACACGUCCCGGGUUUUGUUCUCCGACAAAAGAGGUUUACAACCCAUAGGGCCGUCUUCCCUCACGCGGCUUGGCUGGUUCAGGAUCUCUCCCAUUGACCAAUAUUCCUCACUGCUGCCUCCCGUAGGAGUCUGGUCCGUGUCUCAGUACCAGUGUGGGGGACCUUCCUCUCAGAACCCCUACGCAUCGUCGCCACGGUGGGCCGUUACCCCGCCGUCAAGCUAAUGCGCCGCAUGCCCAUCCUCUUCCGAUGAAUCUUUCCUCGAUCUCGGAUGCCCGAAACCGAUAUACGCGGGAUUAGCCUCCCUUUCGGAAGGUUGUCCCCCUGAAGAGGGCAGGUUGCAUACGUGUUACUCACCCGUGCGCCGGUCGCCGGCAAGGAAAGCAAGCUUCCCUCCCGAUGCCCCUCGACUUGCAUGUGUUAAGCCUGCCGCUAGCGUUCAUCCUGAGCCAGGAUCAAACUCU
rnacentral:rRNA from 1 species